rnacentral:rRNA from 1 species
CAGCAGUGGGGAAUCUUAGACAAUGGGCGCAAGCCUGAUCUAGCCAUGCCGCGUGAGUGACGAAGGCCUUAGGGUCGUAAAGCUCUUUCGCCAGGGAUGAUAAUGACAGUACCUGGUAAAGAAACCCCGGCUAACUCCGUGCCAGCAGCCGCGGUAAUACGGAGGGGGUUAGCGUUGUUCGGAAUUACUGGGCGUAAAGCGCACGUAGGCGGACUGGAAAGUUGGGGGUGAAAUCCCGGGGCUCAACCUCGGAACUGCCUCCAAAACUACUAGUCUAGAGUUCGAGAGAGGUGAGUGGAAUUCCGAGUGUAGAGGUGAAAUUCGUAGAUAUUCGAAAGAACACCAGUGGCGAAGGCGGCUCACUGGCUCGAUACUGACGCUGAGGUGCGAAAGUGUGGGG